AUUGAACGCUGGCGGCGUGCCUAAUACAUGCAAGUCGAACGCAGUGGGGACGGGUGAGUAACACGUGGGUAACCUCCCAUCAGAGGGGAUAACACUUGGAAACAGGUGCUAAACCGAUACUGCUGGAUGGACCCGCGGUGCAUUAGCUAGUUGGUGGGGUAACGGCUCACCAAGGCCACGAUGCAUAGGCGGGCUGAGCGGGUGAUCGGCCACAGUGGGACAGAGACACGGUGCAGACGACUACGGGAGGCAGCAGUAGGGAAUAGUGGGGAAUGGGCGAAAGGCUGAUCGAGCAACACAGCGGGAGUGAAGAAGGUUUUCGGAGCGUAAAACACGGGUAUCAGAGAAGCGGUAUCUGACCAGAAAGCCACGGCUAACUACGUGCCAGCAGCCGCGGUAAUAC
rnacentral:rRNA from 1 species